GGAUGGAUGUCUGAGCGGUUGAAAGAGUUGGUCUUGAAAACUGAAGUAUUUAUAGAAAUACCAAGGGUUCGAAUCCCUCUCCAUCCG
rfam:Nicotiana sylvestris Nsyl_contig35418, whole genome shotgun sequence.